UACGGAGGAUGCAAGCGUUAUCCGGAAUCACUGGGUUUAAAGGGUGCGUAGGCGGUCAGAUAAGUCAGAGGUGAAAGCUUUCCGCUUAACGGAAAAACUGCCUUUGAUACUGUUUGACUUGAAUUAGGCUGAGGUACGCGGAAUGUGACAUGUAGCGGUGAAAUGCAUAGAUAUGUCAUAGAACACCAAUUGCGAAGGCAGCGUACUAGACCUUAAUUGACGCUGAGGCACGAAAGCGUGGGUAGCGAACAGG
rnacentral:rRNA from 1 species